UCUCGACUCCCUCUCUCCCCUCUCAACUCCGCCGCCGGCGCCGCUGCCCUGCACCGGCCCGUCGCCGCCCACCCUCGCUGCUGCCCCGCGCCCUAGUUCUUCUCUAUUCGAUUGGUUGAGCCCUAGUUCUUCUCUGUUCGAAACAACCCAGCCGUCGCCAUCUCAGGAAGACCGGCGAGCUACGCGACCUAGAGCCCGCCCAUCGUUGCUGGUGGUCCGAGGAUCGGCGAGCCGAUGGUGUUCUACGGCCGGUUCUCUUCUCAACUCCACAUAAUCGAGGCAGGAAAGGGGGAAAGCCCUAAUUCUCUAAUUUGCAAUCGAGAGCAGAUGAGGUUGAUAAUUGGGCGUCGAACAAGAGUUUUGCCCCUUCUCCCUCUCUCUACCUCCUCUCUGCGCCGCCUUUGUCUCCGGCGAGCAGCCGCUAGCCGCCACCUUCUCCAGCCUGGCGUCGCCCCCCAUCCCCAUCACCCCUCUCUCGCUUCCACCACCACGAGCAACCUCCAUCGUCGGCUCAGCGCCCACCACCGCUCCAAUCGCACCACCACUACCCCUGGCACCUGCCUCCAGCCUCUGACUCCGACAACAGUCGCCCUCAUUCUUCAGUGUUGUACAGGUCACUUAACAAGCCGAUGCAGCUGGAGCAUUGGAAAGAAGAGAGUGGAGACCCUUGUGCAGAACCACCCUGGACUGGAGUUCAAUGCAUCGGAUCAUCAAUUAUCGACCUUAAACUUCAUGGGCUGGGGCUGACAGGAAGCAUUGGAUUUGAGCUCUCAAAUCUCAAGAGUCUGAAGAAAUUGGACCUUAGUUCAAAUGACAUUGAGGGAUCAAUCCCCUACAGUUUACCUCCCAACCUCACGCACCUAAACUUCGCUGAGAACAAAUUUAGUCAGAGCUUUCCAUACUCGAUAGAGAAGAUGAAACACCUCCAACAUCUGUUUGAAAGUACACGGUGAUAGAGAGAUUGAUAAAGAGAUAAGCUUCAAGAAAUAACUUCCCAAUUCUGGUGCCCCCAGUUAGCUUCAGUGAACGAGAAUCGGGAAUAUGUUAUAGUAGGUGGUGGAAAUUCAGUUGGUUAUGCUGCUCGGACUUUUGUUGAGCAUGGAGUGGCUGAUGGGAAGCUCUGCAUUGUCUCCAAAGAGGUUUUUCAUUCUAUAAUAUGGCACAAAACUUUGUGUUGCUGCGCUGCUUUAGUUGUUCUUGUGGAGUAUCAGACAAUGAAAUUUUGUGUAUUUUG